CGCAAGCCUGAUGCAGCCAUGCCGCGUGUGUGAAGAAGGCCUUCGGGUUGUAAAGCACUUUCAGUCGUGAGGAAGGUGGUGUAGUUAAUAGCUGCAUUAUUUGACGUUAGCUACAGAAGAAGCACCGGCUAACUCCGUGCCAGCAGCCGCGGUAAUACGGAGGGUGCGAGCGUUAAUCGGAAUUACUGGGCGUAAAGCGCAUGCAGGUGGUUUGUUAAGUCAGAUGUGAAAGCCCGGGGCUCAACCUCGGAAUUGCAUUUGAAACUGGCAGACUAGAGUACUGUAGAGGGGGGUAGAAUUUCAGGUGUAGCGGUGAAAUGCGUAGAGAUCUGAAGGAAUACCGGUGGCGAAGGCGGCCCCCUGGACAGACACUG
rnacentral:rRNA from 1 species